rnacentral:tRNA from 1 species
GCCUCUGUAGCACAAUGGUAGUGCGCCUGAUUUGUAAUCAGGAGGUUGGGAGUUCGAGUCUCCCCGGGGGCU